rnacentral:rRNA from 1 species
AGGGAAUCUUCCACAAUGGACGAAAGUCUGAUGGAGCAACGCCGCGUGAGGGAUGAAGGUUUUCGGAUCGUAAAACUCUGUUGUAAGGGCAGAGCCAGUAGGUCAGGCACCGGACGUACCUGGACGGUACCUUAUUAGAAAGCCACGUCUCACUAUGUGACAGCAGCCGCGGUAAUACGUAGGUGGCAAGCGUUGUCCGGAAUUAUUGGGCGUAAAGCGCGCGCAGGUGGUUUCUUAAGUCUGAUGUGAAAGCCCACGGCUUAACCGUGGAGGUUCAUUGGAUACUGGGAGACUUGAGUGCAGAAGAGGAAAGUGGAAAUCCCAGUGUAGCGGUGAAAAGCGUAGAGAUUUGGAGGAACACCAGUGGCGAAGGCGACUUUCUGGUCUGCAACUGACGCUGAGGCGCGAAAGCAUGGGGAGCAAACA